AACGAACGCUGGCGGCAUGCCUAACACAUGCAAGUCGAACGAAUGGUUUCGGCCAUUAGUGGCGCACGGGUGAGUAACGCGUGGGAAUCUGCCCAGCAGUGGGGGAUAACCUCUGGAAACGGAGGCUAAUACCGCAUACGCCCCUCGGGGGAAAGGCUUGCUGCUGCUGGAGGAGCCCGCGUCGGAUUAGGUAGUUGGUGGGGUAACGGCCUACCAAGCCUGUGAUCCGUAGCUGGUCUGAGAGGAUGAUCAGCCACACUGGGACUGAGACACGGCCCAGACUCCUACGGGAGGCAGCAGUGGGGAAUAUUGGACAAUGGGCGGAAGCCUGAUCCAGCCAUGCCGCGUGAGUGAAGAAGGCCUCGGUUG
rnacentral:rRNA from 1 species